rnacentral:rRNA from 1 species
GACGAACGCUGGCGGCGUGCCUAACACAUGCAAGUCGAACGCGUCUGUGCUUCGGCACAGAUGAGUGGCGAACGGGUGAGUAACGCGUGAGUAACUCCCCUUGGGGAGGGGGAUAACCAUCUGAAAAGGUGGCUAAUACCCCAUAUUCUCUUUUCUCAUAAGAGGAAGAAGGAAAGGUGGCGCAAGCUGCCACCCCGAGAGAGGCUCGCGUCCCAUCAGCUAGUUGGUAGGGUAAUGGCCUACCAAGGCUAUGACGGGUAGCUGGUCUGAGAGGAUGGUCAGCCACACUGGGACUGAGACACGGCCCAGACUCCUACGGGAGGCAGCAGUGAGGAAUCUUGGGCAAUGGGCGAAAGCCUGACCCAGCGACGCCGCGUGGAGGAAGAAGGGCCUUCGGGUCGUAAACGUCCUCGUUUGGGGUAGGAAGAACAAGAGAGAAGUUAAAUAGCUCUCUCUCUGACGGUAUCCCGGACGAAAGCUCCGGCUAAUACGUGCCAGCAGCCGCGGUAA